rnacentral:rRNA from 1 species
GAUGAACGCUGGCGGCGUGCUUAACACAUGCAAGUCGAACGGACAGGCCCUGCUUUUGUUGGGUGCUCGUGUGCCGAACGGGGGUGUAACACGUGAGUAACCUGUCCCUGUCUUUGGGGUAACUCUAGGAAACUGGGGCUAAUACCCGAUAGGAUCUCCUGAUGCAUGGGGGGGGUUGGUAAGUUUCGGCGGUUCGGGAUGGACUCGCGGCUUCGCGGCUUGUUGGUGAGGUAGUGGCUUACCAAGGUUUUGAAGGGUAGCCCGCCUGGGAGGGUGACCAGGCACAAGAGGACUACGAGAGGCCGCAGACUCCUACCGGACGCAGCAGGGGAGAGUAUUACACAGUGGGCGGAAGCCAGUUGCAGCAACGCCGCGUGCGGAAUGACGGCCUACGGGUUGUGAACCUAUUUCGACUGUGACGAGGCGUGAGUGACGGUAAUGGGUAAAAAAGCACCGGCUAACUACGUG